ACGGGCUUAACACAUGCAAGUCGAGGGGCAGCAUUUUUCUAUCAAUAGAAGAGAUGGCGACCGGCGCACGGGUGAGUAACACGUAUCCAACCUACCGAUAACUCUGGAAUAGCCUUUCGAAAGAAAGAUUAAUACCGGAUAGUAUACGAAUAUCGCAUGAUAUUUUUAUUAAAGAAUUUCGGUUAUCGAUGGGGAUGCGUUCCAUUAGUUUGUUGGCGGGGUAACGGCCCACCAAGACUACGAUGGAUAGGGGUUCUGAGAGGAAGGUCCCCCACAUUGGAACUGAGACACGGUCCAAACUCCUACGGGAGGCAGCAGUGAGGAAUAUUGGUCAAUGGGCGCAGGCCUGAACCAGCCAAGUAGCGUGAAGGAUGAAGGCUCUAUGGGUCGUAAACUUCUUUUAUAUGGGAAUAAAGUUUUCCACGUGUGGAAUUUUGUAUGUACCAUAUGAAUAAGGAUCGGCUAACUCCGUGCCAGCAGCCGCGGUAAUACGGAGGAUCCGAGCGUUAUCCGGAUUUAUUGGGUUUAAAGGGAGCGUAGGUGGAUUGUUAAGUCAGUUGUGAAAGUUUGCGGCUCAACCGUAAAAUUGCAGUUGAAACUGGUAGUCUUGAGUACAGUAGAGGUGGGCGGAAUUCGUGGUGUAGCGGUGAAAUGCUUAGAUAUCACGAAGAACUCCGAUUGCGAAGGCAGCUCACUAGACUGUAACUGACACUGAUGCUCGAAAGUGUGGGUAUCAAACAGGAUUAGAUACCCUGGUAGUCCACACAGUAAACGAUGAAUACUCGCUGUUUGCGAUAUACAGUAAGCGGCCAAGCGAAAGCAUUAAGUAUUCCACCUGGGGAGUACGCCGGCAACGGUGAAACUCAAAGGAAUUGACGGGGGCCCGCACAAGCGGAGGAACAUGUGGUUUAAUUCGAUGAUACGCGAGGAACCUUACCCGGGCUUAAAUUGCAACAGAAUAUAUUGGAAACAGUAUAGCCGUAAGGCUGUUGUGAAGGUGCUGCAUGGUUGUCGUCAGCUCGUGCCGUGAGGUGUCGGCUUAAGUGCCAUAACGAGCGCAACCCUUAUCUUUAGUUACUAACAGGUCAUGCUGAGGACUCUAGAGAGACUGCCGUCGUAAGAUGUGAGGAAGGUGGGGAUGACGUCAAAUCAGCACGGCCCUUACGUCCGGGGCUACACACGUGUUACAAUGGGGGGUACAGAAGGCAGCUACACGGCGACGUGAUGCUAAUCCCAAAAACCUCUCUCAGUUCGGAUCGAAGUCUGCAACCCGACUUCGUGAAGCUGGAUUCGCUAGUAAUCGCGCAUCAGCCAUGGCGCGGUGAAUACGUUCCCGGGCCUUGUACACACCGCCCGUCAAGCCAUGAAAGCCGGGGGUACCUGAAGUACGUAACCGCAAGGAGCGUCCUAGGGUAAAACUGGUAAUUGG
rnacentral:rRNA from 1 species